rnacentral:rRNA from 1 species
UGGGGAAUCUUGCACAAUGGGCGAAAGCCUGAUGCAGCAACGCCGCGUGCGGGAAGACAGCCCUAGGGUUGUAAACCGCUUUCAGCAGGGAAGAAACUGACGGUACCUGCAGAAGAAGAUGCGGCCAACUACGUGCCAGCAGCCGCGGUGACACGUAGGCAUCAAGCGUUAUCCGGAUUUAUUGGGCGUAAAGAGCUCGUAGGCGGUUCGGUAAGUCGGGUGUGAAAACUCUGGGCUCAACCCAGAGAGGCCACUCGAUACUGCUGUGACUAGAGUGCGGUAGGGGAGCGGGGAAUUCCUGGUGUAGCGGUGAAAUGCGCAGAUAUCAGGAGGAACACCAGUGGCGAAGGCGCCGCUCUGGGCCGUAACUGACGCUGAGGAGCGAAAGCAUGGGUAGCAAACAGGAUUAGAUACCCUGGUAGUCCACGCCGUAAACGAUGUCUGCUAGACGUCGGGGGGCGCAGCCCUUCGGUGUCGCAGCUAACGCAUUAAGCAGACCGCCUGGGAGUACGGCCGCAAGGUUAAAA